GUUUGCGUACGCGUACCUCAGCGACGACAGCGCGUCGAGUCCCACCGAUACUCACGACGUCGGCUCGCCCGAGCUGCCGAACUACUUUGACGAGCCGCUGCACCACCUCUGCUCGUCGGACACGUCCGUCUACAUGAGCGACGACAGCCUGGACGAGCUAGAUGAACUGCUGAGCGAGCAGCAGCAGCAACAGCAGCAGCAGCAGCAACAGCAGCAGCAGCAGAGACCAGACAUCAUCAUGCAAUACGAGGAUGCUGCUGAUGAGUUGUAUCAACUCCAGUUGCACGCCAAGCCCGCAGACGAUGGGCGUCGUGAGAACCACUGAACGUAUCAAAUAAGUCAAUGACUUGCACCUAAAGUAUGACAUAUUGUCACAGCGUAUAUCGGCCCCUUGCUAGCAGUUAGUUAAGCAUGAGGGUAGCGCGUACUAACUUGCUCCGUAUUUUACCUUAUAUAGUAGCAUGAACGUUAUGUAACCACACACGUAUAAACAUAUAUGCAGGUGUAAAAACAGGAUACAUAAAUUUAUGUUUAUUUAAAAUAGUAGGCCUAUGCCUAUAUAUAUAUAUAUAUAUACAUAAUUUCAUCAUGGCGUUGGGAGUCGCUCCUAAUUUCUAACGUGUUAAUUAAGUGCGCUAGACGUAAGUACUUAAUUUUUACCAACUUGUAAAUUAUAAUCAUCUAUGUUUUUAUGUUAUAUAAUAGUAUUGUACAAUGUACAUACAUAUUGUUACCGGUUACAUGAAUAAAUCGUAGCUAAUUAUUCAUAAUACAUGAGAUAUUUAUUAUAUAUAAUUAGUAUAAUUAUAGUUAUCUCAACUCAGUAGAACGUAUUCAUGCUUCACUGGCAAUAAUUGAUGUAUAUAUGUGAAUUUGUCACAUCAUUGUUUGAUGUAGUAAUAGCGUUAUACAUACAUACGUAUGUAAUAAGCAGAUUGUUGUCGGUGAAUAACCGGUGUGUAAUAUUAGAAGUACAUACAGGGAGAGAAUUCCUAUAUUAUUUACCCCUGGCAAUAUGUGGCGUCGUGAGUGCUACGAUACCAGUGCAAUUCGGUGUACAAGCGCUUGCACGGUCGUAUUGGAUUAAUUACUAUUAUAAUUCAGAAAAAAAUAAAUAUGCUAUAAUUUGA